ensembl:lncRNA
CCUAAGAUGCGUCUAGCGAGGAAAACAUCCCCUCUGUGAGGCCUGGGGCCACGUCCUCAAGAGCCCGGGCGUCAGCCUAUCCUCUGAGGGCAGGGCGUGCCCUCCACUCCAUCCUGGGCGAGGAGGCUGCUUUCAGACAGCCUUUUUUGUGCCAAGGCAGGAUGCUGGGCUGGUAAAGCCUUUAGAGCAGAAUGUCUGAGCUUUGUUCUAUCAACAUGGCUCUUAGCUUCCAUUUUUUUCAUCUCUAAAAUUGGAAUAAUAUUUUUAAAUGACCGUUUAUUUAAGACAAUAACACAAGCACUGUGCUAAGUGUAUUGUGCUCACUCACUUCAUUGUGUCCGACUCUUUGUGACCCCGUGGACCGUAGCCCACCAGGCUCCUCUGUCCAUGUGGUUCUCCAGGCAAGAAUACUGGAGUGGGUGGCCACUUCCUUCUCCAGGGAUUUUCCUGAUCCAGGGAUCGAAAAAUCCACGCCUCUUACAUCUCCUGCAUUGACAGGUCGUUGGGAAGAUUACUCAAGAUGAUGUGCAAGACAAUUGCUGAGUGACUGAUACAUCAUCAGAGCGCAGUGGAAGAUGACUGCUAACCAUUUUCAAAGUCUGUGUGACAGCCUCUAGGUGUGUCCACCUCUCUGUGAAUGACCCGACAGCACUCCUUUUAAUGGCACAAUGCAGAAGCAGCACCCAUCGCCUGCCAACAUCUCGUUGCCUCCUCUCUCAUCCCAUCGGGCAGAACUUAGCUGACGGGCUCAGAAUGCCCUCACCUCCUCACGUGUCCCACCAAACAAGUGAGUCUGCUGAUGGCCCAGUUGACAUCAAAGUGCCUCGGACCUGGGCACUGGGAUGGUCUCGUGUUGCCGCAUCUGCCCAUCUGCUCUUGACUUUUCUUAUCUCCAAAAGAAGGAGAGAGGCCUCCAGGAUCUCCAGCAUUCCAUCGAAGCAAGAUCUCGCUGUAAGUCUGGGGUUCCAGAGUCUCUGCAGAAGACAGUUGGGGAUGGGGGCAGUGCCCACGGCUCCCUCUGCGGUUCUGAAUGGUGCCCCGUGACUCCACUCCCAGUCACCGCCCGGCCGGCGCUCCGGUUCAGCCGAGGUCUGGGCGUGGCAGGCCAACCCGCUGCCCUGACCGAGGUAUACCCAGGGAGACGCGGGUGCUGUUUACACAGGCCCGGAGCUGGGGCCUGCCUCGCCCUGGCCCGAGCCUCUUACUGCUCUGCGAACUGGAAUUCCCCAAAUUUUCCCCCAAAUUAAAAGAACUAACAAACUGUAUUGCAAAAACAAACAGAGUUUGUUUUUCUUUUAACAAAUAAAAACUAAUUUAUGCUCUAGCUUUGUUGCCUUGAAUCAACCCGACCGCACAAUUUCGCUGCCAACA